ensembl:lncRNA
GCUAUGCAGCAUGCAGCAUAUAGGAUCUUAGUUCCCCAAAAUGUGAAAGUGAAGUCACUCAGUUGUGUCCGACUCUUUGCUACCCCAUGGAAUUUUUCAGGCCAGAAUACUGGAGUGGGUAGCUGUUUCCUUCUCCAGGGGACCUUCCCAACCCGGGGAUCGAACCCAGGUCUCCCACAUUGCAGGCGGAUUCUUAACCAGCUGAGCCACAAGGGAAGCCCCUAGUUCCCCAACCAGGGAUCAAAUCCACACCCCUUGCAUUGGAAGCUCGAAGAUUCAACCACUGGACCGCCAGGGAAGUUCCUAGAAGUGGAAUUUUUUUAAGCUACAAUGUCCAAGAUGUAGAGAGUUUUCUAGCUCUCGUCACCUAUUUGCAUGGAUGAAAUCAGUUGCCAUGCUCGGAGGAGCCCAGUGGAGAGGCCCAUGGGGUAAGAAGCUCAGGGAGGCCUCAAGCAAAAGACCAAUGCAGAAAUGAGGCCAUCAGCCUAACAGCCUGUGAGGAACUAAAUCCUGCCAGCAAGGCCUUGAGGGAACUUGACAGCAGAUAGUCUGGAUCGGAGCUAUGAGGUGACUGCAUUCUCAGCUGACAGCUUGAUGACAUCUUUGUAACAGACCCUGAGCCUGGAGGGCCCGACGAGGCCACUGGGACUCUUGAUCACAGGAAAUAUAUGAUAAUAAAUGUUUGUUGUUUUAAGUCACUAUGUUUUGGGGUAACGUUACACAGCUGCUGCUGCUGCUGCUGUUGCUGCUGCUAAGUCGCUUCAGUUGUGUCCGACUCUGUGCGACCCCAUAGAUGGCAGCCCACCAGGCUCCCCCAUCCCUGGGAUUCCCAGGCAAGAACGCUGGAGUGGGUUGCCAUUUCUUCUCCAAUGCAUGAAAGUGAAAAGUGAAAGUGAAGUCGAUCAGUCGUGCCUGACUCUUAGUGACCCCAUGGACUGCAGCCCACCAGGCUCCUCCGCCCAUGGGAUUGCCCACACAGCAGUAGAUAGCUGAUACCAAAUGCAUGUUUGUUUAUGCACGUAUUUCUUUUUUAAAAACUAAAUAAAAGUAUCUAUUUUUGUUUGAUUUUUAAAAUUUAUUUUUAAUUGGAAGAUAAUUGUUUUAUAUCGUGUUGGUUUCUGCCAUACAUCAACAUGAGUCUGUCAUAGGCAUACAUAUGUUCCCUCGCUCCUGAACCUCUCUCCCACCUCCUGCCCUGUCCCAACCUUCUAGGUUUUCACAGAGCACUGGAUUUGAGCUCCCUGCAACAUACAGCAAAUUCCCACUGGCUAUCUAAUUUUACAUAUGGUAAUGUGUAUUUUUUAAACCCUGGCCACUGUGCUUGCCACCAGGGAAAGAAGUUUAAGAUUCUAGGGUGGAAGGAAACUUACUUUUUAAUAUAGACUCUUUAGUUUUAUCUCAGUUGUUUAUUCAACAAAGAGGCAAAUAAUAACAUGUUUAAUAUUCUCCAAU